UGACCUCAAAUCAGGUAGGACUACCCGCUGAACUUAAGCAUAUCAAUAAGCGGAGGAAAAGAAACUAACAAGGAUUCCCCUAGUAACUGCGAGUGAAGCGGGAAAAGCUCAAAUUUAAAAUCUGUCAGUCUUUGGCUGUCCGAGUUGUAAUCUAGAGAAGUGUUAUCCGCGCUGGACCGUGUACAAGUCUCCUGGAAUGGAGCGUCAUAGAGGGUGAGAAUCCCGUCUUUGACACGGACUGCCAGGGCUUUUGUGAUGCGCUCUCAAAGAGUCGAGUUGUUUGGGAAUGCAGCUCAAAAUGGGUGGUAAAUUCCAUCUAAAGCUAAAUAUUGGCGAGAGACCGAUAGCGAACAAGUACCGUGAGGGAAAGAUGAAAAGAACUUUGGAAAGAGAGUUAAACAGUACGUGAAAUUGCUGAAAGGGAAACGCUUGAAGUCAGUCGCGUCAUUCAGGGAUCAACCUUGCUUUUGCUUGGUGUACUUUCUGGUUGACGGGUCAGCAUCAAUUUUGACCAUUGGAAAAAGAUUAAGGGAAUGUGGCAUACAUAGUGAUGUGUUAUAGCCCUUGGUUGCAUACAAUGGUUGGGAUUGAGGAACUCAGCACGCCGC
rnacentral:rRNA from 1 species